GACGAACGCUGGCGGCGUGCUUAACACAUGCAAGUCGAGCAAGGCCCGCUCUUCGGGGUGGUGCCCUAGCGGCGAACGGGUGAGUAACACGUGGGCAACCUGCCCUCAGCUCUGGGAUAACUCCAAGAAAUUGGUGCUAAUACCGGAUGUGACCGCUGACCGCAUGGUCUGGUGGUGGAAAGAUUCAUCGGCUGAGGAUGGGCCCGCGGCCUAUCAGCUUGUUGGUGGGGUGAUGGCCUACCAAGGCGACGACGGGUAGCCGGCCUGAGAGGGUGACCGGCCACACUGGGACUGAGACACGGCCCAGACUCCUACGGGAGGCAGCAGUGGGGAAUAUUGCGCAAUGGGCGAAAGCCUGACGCAGCGACGCCGCGUGGGGGAUGACGGCCUUCGGGUUGUAAACCUCUUUCAGUAGGGACGAAGCGGAAGUGACGGUACCUACAGAAGAAGCACCGGCCAACUACGUGCCAGCAGCCGCGGUAAUACGUAGGGUGCAAGCGUUGUCCGGAAUUAUUGGGCGUAAAGAGCUCGUAGGCGGUCUGUCGCGUCGGCUGUGAAAACCCGAGGCUCAACCUCGGGCCUGCAGUCGAUACGGGCAAACUAGAGUGUUGCAGGGGAGACUGGAAUUCCUGGUGUAGCGGUGAAAUGCGCAGAUAUCAGGAGGAACACCGGUGGCGAAGGCGGGUCUCUGGGCAACAACUGACGCUGAGGAGCGAAAGCGUGGGGAGCGAACAGGAUUAGAUACCCUGGUAGUCCACGCCGUAAACGUUGGGCGCUAGGUGUGGGGGCCAUUCCACGGUCUCCGUGCCGCAGCUAACGCAUUAAGCGCCCCGCCUGGGGAGUACGGCCGCAAGGCUAAAACUCAAAGGAAUUGACGGGGGCCCGCACAAGCGGCGGAGCAUGUUGCUUAAUUCGAUGCAACGCGAAGAACCUUACCUAGGCUUGACAUGCACGGGAAUCUGUCAGAGAUGGCAGGUCCUUUGGGGUCGUGCACAGGUGGUGCAUGGUUGUCGUCAGCUCGUGUCGUGAGAUGUUGGGUUAAGUCCCGCAACGAGCGCAACCCUCGUUCUAUGUUGCCAGCGGGUAAUGCCGGGGACUCAUAGGAGACUGCCGGGGUCAACUCGGAGGAAGGUGGGAAUGACGUCAAAUCAUCAUGCCCCUUAUGUCUAGGGCUGCAAACAUGCUACAAUGGCCGGUACAAAGGGCUGCGAUACCGUGAGGUGGAGCGAAUCCCAAAAAGCCGGUCUCAGUUCGGAUUGGGGUCUGCAACUCGACCCCAUGAAGUUGGAGUCGCUAGUAAUCGCAGAUCAGCAACGCUGCGGUGAAUACGUUCCCGGGCCU
rnacentral:rRNA from 1 species